rnacentral:rRNA from 1 species
CAGCCGCCACGGUAAUACGGAGGGAGCUAGCGUUAUUCGGAAUUACUGGGCGUAAAGCGCACGUAGGCGGCUUUGUAAGUUAGAGGUGAAAGCCUGGAGCUCAACUCCAGAAUUGCCUUUAAGACUGCAUCGCUUGAAUCCAGGAGAGGUGAGUGGAAUUCCGAGUGUAGAGGUGAAAUUCGUAGAUAUUCGGAAGAACACCAGUGGCGUAGGCGGCUCACUGGACUGGUAUUGACGCUGAGGUGCGAAAGCGUGGGGAGCAAACAGGAUUAGAUACCCCUGUAGUCCCUGUCUCUUAUAA